AACCAGAGUCGCCACCACGCUUUUAUUAUUUCGAAAGGAAAAGGGAAAAGUACGAAUAAACCCCAAAGAUAAGAAGUUUUCAAAUCAAAACUAAUAAAAUGCAAUAGAUUACAGGUAAGGGGGUUGGUUACACAGAAGGAAGGUGUUAGCACCCAAAGUGUCCUAGGUACUCCUAGGGAGCCCUUUUUUAUGUGCAAGUGAUUUGGUCUAAAUGAUGUUUGAUAAAAUAUAGAGUGGGGUGUCG
rnacentral:lncRNA from 1 species